rnacentral:lncRNA from 1 species
CUUAUUCCACUGUCGAUAGAAUAUAAUUUAUGCUUCUUUGAUGUGUACAAUGAGGUUAGGAGUGUUUUUUAUUUUUUAUGUAUUUUCUUGUCAAUGGCGAUUUUUGGAGCAAAAUAAGGUUUAAUCCAAUCAGGUUGAAAGUAAGCUUUAGAUGGUGUUGAUGAUGGAUUUUGGUAUGGGGAUAGCUAUUAAUUUUGAAUUCUGGAAUGGAUAAUAUAAAAAUUUCAGUUUACAUAAAUCUGUAUUUCGAAAAUGUUGG